CGUGUAGGCGGCAUCGCACGUCGGGUGUGAAAGCCCGGGGCUCAACCCCGGCAGUGCACCCGAAACGACGAUGCUAGAGUGCUGGAGAGGCGGGUGGAAUUCCCGGUGUAGAGGUGAAAUUCGUAGAUAUCGGGAGGAACACCGGUGGCGAAGGCGACCCGCUGGCCAGCGACUGACGCUGAGACGCGAAAGCGUGGGGAGCAAACA
rnacentral:rRNA from 1 species